CCUACGGGGGGCUGCAGUGGGGAAUAUUGCACAAUGGGCGCAAGCCUGAUGCAGCCAUGCCGCGUGUGUGAAGAAGGCCUUCGGGUUGUAAAGCACUUUCAGCGGGGAGGAAGGCGGUGAGGUUAAUAACCUCAUCGAUUGACGUUACCCGCAGAAGAAGCACCGGCUAACUCCGUGCCAGCAGCCCCGGUAAUACGGAGGGUGCAAGCGUUAAUCGGAAUUACUGGGCGUAAAGCGCACGCAGGCGGUCUGUCAAGUCGGAUGUGAAAUCCCCGGGCUCAACCUGGGAACUGCAUUCGAAACUGGCAGGCUAGAGUCUUGUAGAGGGGGGUAGAAUUCCAGGUGUAGCGGUGAAAUGCGUAGAGAUCUGGAGGAAUACCGGUGGCGAAGGCGGCCCCCUGGACAAAGACUGACGCUCAGGUGCGAAAGCGUGGGGAGCAAACAGGAUUAGAUACCCGUGUAGUC
rnacentral:rRNA from 1 species